AGCGAACGCUGGCGGCAGGCCUAACACAUGCAAGUCGAACGAACUCUUCGGAGUUAGUGGCGGACGGGUGAGUAACACGUGGGAACGUGCCUUUUGGUUCGGAAUAACUCAGGGAAACUUGUGCUAAUACCGAAUGUGCCCUUCGGGGGAAAGAUUUAUCGCCAUUAGAGCGGCCCGCGUCUGAUUAGCUAGUUGGUGAGGUAACGGCUCACUAAGGCGACGAUCAGUAGCUGGUGUGAGAGGAUGACCAGCCACACUGGGACUGAGACACGGCCCAGACUCGUACGGGAGGCAGCAGUGGGGAAUCUGGCGCAAUGGGCGAAAGCCUGACGCAGCCAUGCCGCGUGAAUGAUGAAGGUCUUAGGAUUGUAAAAUUCUUUCACCGGGGACGAUAAUGACGGUACCCGGAGAAGAAGCCCCGGCUAACUUCGUG
rnacentral:rRNA from 1 species